AGCAGAGAUCAUGCCAUUCUUCGCUCCGCAUAACCGCGCGUUGUCGCACACCCUUUCGGAUACUAGUGGGUAAAAAUGACUCGCCAGGCGGGUCAUGCGAGUCAUUUUUACUCGCUUUUUGCCGCCUGAAGCGGGUUAACUCGCUGCCCGACAAGGAAUAGUUACCUGGCACGGAAGAUGCAAGAGAGAGGAUAAGAUGAGCAACAGGAGAACGCAAAAUGAAACGGAACAAUAAAUCAGCUAUCGCGCUAAUCGCCCUCUCUCUUUUGGCCCUGAGCUCCGGCGCCGCCUUCGCCGGGCAUCACUGGGGCAACAAUAACGGUAUGUGGCAACAGGGAGGUAGCCCGUUAACUACGGAACAGCAGGCGACGGCGCAGAAGAUUUAUGAUGACUACUACACGCAGACCAGCGCGCUGCGCCAGCAACUGAUAUCCAAACGUUA
rnacentral:misc_RNA from 1 species